UUCAGUUCAUUGACAGUGUGUUUAAUUUUAAAUUUUAAAUUUUUAUUUUAAUGAAAAAAAAAGUUAAUUUCACUUAAUAAAAACUGUGAUAUGAACUCAAAAACUGCAAUUGAUUAACCAUUAUUUAAACUGAAUAAAUAUUGAAUAACUGAAUCCCUCACACACACCGAAAAAAACCCGCGCUUUUAUUUUGACACGCGCCCAUCCCCCCACAUCUCACGGUCGGAGUCAGUUUCACAGAGCAGCGCAGGAGGACGACAGACACUUAAAGAACAUUAACAGUUUAGUUUGAAUCUCUCUCAGUCAGUCAGGGGGAGAUUAACUGACAGACUGUAUAACGUUACACAUCUUACCAAGAAACCAUUAAAAGUUUAGCGCAAAUGUUUCCCGUGGAAGUUUGAAUCUCUCUCAGUCAGGGGGGAGAUUGACUGACAGACUGUCUACUUGCCACCAAACAGUAAUUUACCCUGAAACCUUUUUAAGUAAGGACUAACGUAAACUGACUCUCUGUCUGCUCUCAACCAAACAGUCAUUUAAGACCUUCUAAAGCUUAGCGCAAACGUUUCCUGCGCAAGUUUGAAUCUCUCAGUCAGGGGGGAGAUUGACUGACUGACUGACUGUCUACUCGCCACCAAACGUCAAAAGUCAGUUACACAGAAUCCUUUUAAAGUUUAGCACAAACUUUUUCCGCGCAAGUUUGGAUCUUUACCAUUGAGGGUGGCUGACUGUUCUCGACCAACCAUCAUUCACACGCAAAAACUUUAAAGAUAAGUAUGAACGUGCCCAGAGCAGUUUUCGAUCUUUACCAUUAAGGAGGCUGACUGACUAUCGUCUACCACCCGUCAUUAACACAACAAAAACUAAAGAAAUGUUACUCCAUAUGGACCUAUUCAUUUACUCAUUAUGCUGUGAGUACACCACAGUUUUAUCAGGGAAAAAAUUUAUAUUUGUGUGUUUUCUCAUUGCUUGGCAAGGACAGAUGUGGCCCUGUUAAAAAUGUUUAAAUGUCGUUUGGUUUAAGGAACAGCACACUGAUUUUGUUUUAAAAUAUUCCUGUUUGGACAGUCUGUUAAAGCCAUAAAGGAAUACUUGAUAUAUUUCAUAAGUAAAGUGUAAAUGUAAUAUUAGUUUUUAAUGUUGUGAAUUUGGACUGAACAGCACACUUCUGUUUUAUAUCUAAACCUUUUGUAAAAUAAAUGAUUGUUCAAUAAACUGUGUAUUUUA